AUGGACCGGCUGCUAACUGGGGGAUCUUCGGCCUUUCAGCUCAUCCUCAUGGUUUUGGUUGUUAAUGUGGUUUUGGUGUCGCCCAUUGCCUUCUAUUCAAGUGGUUUUGAUGGGGUUCCAUUUCAUUGUACAAGUGUUGGGGUUACAUUUGGUGUGUGUUCAGAGCAUUUGAUGUGCUACUUGUGCGGUGGCGUGGUAUUAUGCUUUUUGAAUUGUUCUUUUAUGCUAAAUUUGUAUGCUAAAGUUUUUGCCAAAUCUCAUGGUUUAAUCUUGCACAAUCAUUUAGUACUAAGAAACAUUUAUAACCUGUGA
rnacentral:rRNA from 1 species